rnacentral:rRNA from 1 species
UAGGGAAUCUUCCACAAUGGACGCAAGUCUGAUGGAGCAACGCCGCGUGAGUGAAGAAGGUUUUCGGAUCGUAAAGCUCUGUUGUUGGUGAAGAAGGAUAGAGGUAGUAACUGGCCUUUAUUUGACGGUAAUCAACCAGAAAGUCACGGCUAACUACGUGCCAGCAGCCGCGGUAAUACGUAGGUGGCAAGCGUUGUCCGGAUUUAUUGGGCGUAAAGCGAGCGCAGGCGGAAGAAUAAGUCUGAUGUGAAAGCCCUCGGCUUAACCGAGGAACUGCAUCGGAAACUGUUUUUCAUGAGUGCAGAAGAGGAGAGUGGAAUUCCAUGUGUAGCGGUGGAAUGCGUAGAUAUAUGGAAGAACACCAGUGGCGAAGGCGACUCUCUGGUCUGCAACUGACGCUGAGGCUCGAAAGCAUGGGUAGCGAACAGG